GGGGAUGUAACUCAUUGGUAGAGUACUUGCCUGGCAUGCGUGCAUAUGUGAGAUCCUGGGUUCCAUCCCCA
rnacentral:tRNA from 1 species